AUUGAACGCUGGCGGAAUGCUUUACACAUGCAAGUCGAACGGCAGCACGGACUUCGGUCUGGUGGCGAGUGGCGAACGGGUGAGUAAUACAUCGGAACGUGCCCAGUCGUGGGGGAUAACGUAGCGAAAGCUACGCUAAUACCGCAUACGAUCUAAGGAUGAAAGCGGGGGAUCGCAAGACCUCGCGCGAUUGGAGCGGCCGAUGGCAGAUUAGGUAGUUGGUGGGGUAAAGGCUCACCAAGCCGACGAUCUGUAGCUGGUCUGAGAGGACGACCAGCCACACUGGGACUGAGACACGGCCCAGACUCCUACGGGAGGCAGCAGUGGGGAAUUUUGGACAAUGGGGGCAACCCUGAUCCAGCGAUGCCGCGUGGGUGAAGAAGGCCUUCGGGUUGUAAAGCCCUUUAGGCUGGGAAGAAGUUAGUUAGCUUAAUACGCUAAUUGAUUGACGGUACCAGCAGAAUAAGCACCGGCAAACUCUGUGCCAGCCGCCGCCGUAA
rnacentral:rRNA from 1 species